UCGGGGCCGGGGGUACGGGGUGGGUAAGUUAAGUGUCGGUAACGGGCCGAUGGAGGGGGGUAACUACUGGAAACGGUAGCUAAUACCGCAUAACGUCGCAAGACCAAAGAGGGGGACCUUCGGGCCUCUUGCCAUCGGAUGUGCCCAGAUGGGAUUAGCUAGUAGGUGGGGUAACGGCUCACCUAGGCGACGAUCCCUAGCUGGUCUGAGAGGAUGACCAGCCACACUGGAACUGAGACACGGUCCAG
rnacentral:rRNA from 1 species